rnacentral:lncRNA from 1 species
UAAAAUUUCAAUUUUGAUGAAUACAGUUUCAAUUUUGUUAUAGUUACUCUUUGUUUUUGGGCGAGUUUUUCCACUUUUUGUGAUGGAUGAUUGAGCUCCAUAAGUGAGAUGAGCUCCAUAAGCAUUUUUGGUCAUCUUCUGCACUGGUAAUGGAUUACAGGAGUCUUGUAAUCGAUUACCAGAAGAAAAAUGGUUAUUUGUACAGAAACUUGAACUAUACUCCCCACCUGGAUGAACCGCACUCCCCAACUCUAUUUUUCUGACCUUUGCUACUUGUUUUAUUCUUAACUUUCUCCAC